AAUUUCGAGCAGUCGCGGCCGGCCUUGAGCCGGCUGAGGAAAGUCCACGCACGCACGGGCUGCGAUGCCCGUAGUGAUCGUAUUCAGCCCAAUAAGCUGGAGGAGGCCCCAGGCCUCACGGCAGAGAAAGCGCUAAAGCCUAGCCAUGCGUGAAUAUCUUGAAAGUGCCACAGUGACGGAGCAAGCCGGGAAACCGGUUUGGUGGAACGAGGUAAACCCUGCGAGCGUGUAACCCAAAAUUUGGUAGGGGCGUCUCAACUUAGGUAAAUGAACCAAAAGUUGGACUACAUCAUGUAGAGAUAGAUGGCUGCUGAAACCAGCCGCGGCCGGCGGUUGGUGGAACAGAACGUGGCUUAUAGAA
rnacentral:RNase_P_RNA from 26 species